rnacentral:lncRNA from 1 species
AGCUGAGGUUCAAGGUCCUACUUUUGCAGAUUUUCAUAUUUUGCAUGAAUGAAUUUAAAGUUUAUACCAUGGACAGCAGAGAAAGAAAAAAAAAACUUUUCAAUUUUCCUGCUUCUGAAGGAUAAAUGUAAAACAUCUUGUUUUUGGUAAGUUUUAUGCUCUGUUUUAAUAGUGUUUUGUGCAUUCAUCUGUCCAGUCCUUCCUCUAAAUUGUAUCCUCUUUAAUUUUUUGGUGAGUGUUUGCCAUGAAUUUCAGUAAGUAGCCUGUGGAUUUACAUAUAUAUAUACUCAAAAUUUAGUACUAAUAUUAAGGGAUUUUAGCAUGACAUCCUGUCGAAUGCUUGUUAAUCAUGUUUAUGUUCCAGAACAUAUGAGUAUUUAGACUACGCGUACAGUCUGCCCAAUUUUAAGAAGUUGGUCAAGUUUAUUAGAAACAAAUAUACAUUACAGAUCAACAUAACUGAAAUCUUUAAUAGAUUAAUACAAAAAGUUUAAUUGCAGUAGAAAUAAAAAUACAUGUUUGGUUGAGCUCUGGUAUUAGACAGUACAAGUACCGGGUAUACUCAAAUGGUCUGAUUGUAUGCAUAUGGUCGGACUGUAAGAGUAUACUUAUAUGUUUCGGACCGUAAACGUACGGUCCAAAUACUUAUAUGGUCUGGAACAUUUAUACAUGUCUUAAAAUUAGUAUCUGACAAACACGUUGGUGUUUGUGAACUUGGUAAUAAGUUAUUCGAUAGAAAUAUAAUGUUUUCAGAUUAUAAAAAAAAAAUAUCCCAUAUUUACUUUUAAAAAAAGAAAGAAGAAGAUUAUUGAUGUAUGUAUAACUGUAAAAUGAGACAGCAAGCCAACAACACAAAAAAUAAGUAUAAAACAAUAUAUAUUUUUUUGUAUCAAUGUUAUAAUUUCCAAUAUGUCCGAAGAUUUCAAGGUAUUUUUACAUUGAAAUAAAACACAAAUUGAACUCUGUCAGAACUUCAAAAGCUUAAAGAUAUAUUGUUUCUGUUGUCUGCAUUUUGUAUAAUAUAUUGAAAAUUCUAGUGAAUAAUGGAAUAUGUUAUUAUAAUUGCCUAAAGUUUUAACAUUGAUCUUUUAUAUAUAUGAUAUAUAUAACUUGGGAAAAUACCCAAAUGUUAUAAAGAAGAAUAAAUUAAUUGAUUGUUAUAUACCGGUAGUAUUAGAAUAGGAAGAUGUGGUAUAUUGCUAAUUUGACAACUCUCCAUCAGAGACCAAAGGAUGUAAGAGGUUAGCAACUGAUGACACUGGACAACCUUUAACAAUCAGUAAAAUCCAUACCGCAUAGCUAUUUUUAUUAAAAAUCAUAUUAUUGCUACAUGUAUGCAAAAAAAUUUUAUAUAAUACUUCAGAUUUUAUUGGUUCUUUUUCAGAAGGAUUGAAAUUCAUCACCUAGAAUAAAUGGAGAAAACAUAGAAACAAGACCAG